AUCAUCUGAUGUUUCUGUGUGUCUCCUGUUCAAACCUGAUUAUCGUGCUAACAUGUUGAUCUAUUUAAUAUUACUAUCAUCAGUUGAAGGUUCUGGAGCGGCAGAGGUCAUCACACCAUACAGUUCUUAUCAGUUUGCUGUUGAGGGUGACAGUGUGACACUCUCUUGUAACUACACUGGUUCUGUUCGAGGUCUUCACUGGUAUCGUCAAUACAAAGGUUCACUACCAAAGUUCCUCAUACUGGAUUAUUAUGGGAAAGUUACUGAAGCUGUUCCUCCAGUUGCUGGAGUCUCAAUCCAUCACAGAAAAAACAGCAGUAGUGUGGAUCUGAAGAUCUCCUCUGCUGCUGUCACUGACUCCGCUCUCUACUACUGUGCUUUGGAGCCCACAGUGAAAGGAAAUCCACUGCAUGCUGUACAAAAACCUCUUUAAAUAAAACUAAGGCUGAAAGAAAGCGAAA